AACGUAGGAGGCGAGCGUUAUCCGGAUUUACUGGGCGUAAAGCGCGUGUAGGCGGUUUCAUAAGUCGUGCGUGAAAGCUCCCUGGCUCAACCGGGAGAGGUCGUGCGAUACUGCGAAACUUGAGUCAGACAGAGGCAAGUAGAAUUCCGGGUGUAGUGGUGAAAUGCGUAGAUAUCCGGAGGAAUACCAGUGGCGAAGGCGACCUUCUGGACGGAUACUGACGCUGAGGCGCGAAAGCUAGGGGAGCAAACGGG
rnacentral:rRNA from 1 species